AGGGUUUGAUCCUGGCUCAGAACGUACGCUGGCGGCACGCCUAACACAUGCAAGUCGAACGAAGUAGCAAUACUUAGUGGCAGACGGGUGAGUAACAUGUAGGUAUCUGCCCUUUGGCCUGGAAUAACACGAGGAAACUUGUGCUAAUACCGGAUAAGUCUUUACGGAGAAAGCUUUAUGCACCAUUGGAUGAGCCUGCACUUGAUUAGUUUGUUGGUGGGGUAAUGGCCUACCAAGACUUUGAUCAAUAGCUGAUUUGAGAGGAUGAUCAGCCACAUUGGGACUGAGACACGGCCCAAACUCCUACGGGAGGCAGCAGUGGGGAAUCUUGCACAAUGGAGGAAACUCUGAUGCAGCGAUGCCGCGUGAGUGAAGAAGGCCUUUGGGUUGUAAAGCUCUUUCGUCGGGGAAGAAAAUGACUGUACCCGAAUAAGAAGGUCCGGCUAACUUCGUGCCAGCAGCCGCGGUAAUACGAAGGGACCUAGCGUAGUUCGGAAUUACUGGGCUUAAAGAGUUCGUAGGUGGUUGAAAAAGUUGGUGGUGAAAUCCCAGAGCUUAACUCUGGAACUGCCAUCAAAACUUUUCAGCUAGAGUAUGAUAGAGGAAAGCAGAAUUUCUAGUGUAGAGGUGAAAUUCGUAGAUAUUAGAAAGAAUACCAAUUGCGAAGGCAGCUUUCUGGAUCAUUACUGACACUGAGGAACGAAAGCAUGGGUAGCGAAGAGGAUUAGAUACCCUCGUAGUCCAUGCCGUAAACGAUGUGUGUUAGACGUUGGAAAUUUAUUUUCAGUGUCGCAGCGAAAGCGAUAAACACACCGCCUGGGGAGUACGACCGCAAGGUUAAAACUCAAAUGAAUUGACGGGGACCCGCACAAGUAGUGGAGCAUGUGGUUUAAUUCGAAGAUACGCGCAGAACCUUACCAACACUUGACAUGUUCGUCGCGACUUUAAGAGAUUAAAGUUUUCGGUUCGGCCGGACGAAACACAGGUGCUGCAUGGCUGUCGUCAGCUCGUGUCGUGAGAUGUUGGGUUAAGUCCCGCAACGAGCGCAACCCUCACUUUUAGUUGCCAUCAUUAAGUUGGGCACUCUGAAAGAACUGCCAGUGAUAAGCUGGAGGAAGGUGGGGAUGACGUCAAGUCCUCAUGGCCCUUACGUGUUGGGCUACACACGUGCUACAAUGGUAUUUACAAAAGGAAGCAAGACGGCGACGUUUAGCAAAUCCUUAAAAAAUACCUCAGUUCGGAUUGCACUCUGCAACUCGAGUGCAUGAAGCUGGAAUUACUAGUAAUCGUGGAUCAGCGUGCCACGGUGAAUGCGUUCCCGGGUCUUGUACACACCGCCCGUCACACCAUGGGAGUUGGUUCUACCUUAAGGCAAGGUUUAAAACCCUUGACCACGGUAUAGUCAGCGACUGGGGUGAAGUCAUAACAAGGUAACCGUA
rnacentral:rRNA from 1 species